rnacentral:lncRNA from 1 species
CCUCACAAACACCCCAGGUAUUUUUCUCCUGUGGAACUCCAGAUCUCAUCAGGUUGACAGUAUGAUCCAUCACAGGCUGGUUAUAAUAAUCACUUCACAAUGAUACUAGGAACAAAUGUCUCAUUAUAUACCUUAUAUACCUACAUUGUUCAUUUCUCAACUAUUCUUCAGUAAAGCUGCUCAACAAUAGUCUGUGAAGUCACAGAUUUGGAGGUAGGGGAUGACAGGUGGUCAGCCAUGAUGGGUACUGCACCAAUCACAAGCCCAGAGCACUUUUACAGAAGUUUCAAGCCCUGCUUUCAGUCUUGUGAUCCUUCUGGAACCGCCCAUGUGGAUACUGUAGCUUUCUCCAGGGACGGAUUACUUGUUCACGGGAUACUGUCUUACAGAGAGAAGAUGCAAAGUGCCCUUGGGAUUUUAAUGACAUUGAAAUCAUAGAAGCGAUGAAAUGAAGCCUGCAGUUUUCCUGGCUGAUCACUAUGUGAUACUUAAAAAGGUUGCUGUUUUAUCUGAACUUCUACUUAUUGACCUGGAAGUGACAAGCUAAAUUCAUAGAGGGAGCUGGGAUGGCACAGAUAAGCCACUGUGCAUGGCACACGGUAGACUAUCUACCUAAACCAAUGAGAAGUACCAAGAGGCAGGCUGAAGAAGAUGUACCCAAAAGCAUCCUGUCCUGCAGGACUUUGCAACCGAGACCCUUUGCAAUCUUGCAAGUUUAUGCCAGUAAGGUCUAGACAGUAUUUCUGACUUUGUAAAACCAUAUGCUCUGUGGCAACCAUUCCACUCUGAUCUCAUAACUCCAAAGUAGUUAUAUGUAAUAUGUAACGAAUGGCCAUGACUGUGUGCCAACAAAACUUUAUUUGUAAACACAGAAAGCUGGGCCCAGUGUGGUCCAUGGUCCAUAAUCUGCUGACCCCCUUCUGGGA